rnacentral:rRNA from 1 species
ACUGCUCAGUAACACGUGGAUAACCUGCCCUUGGGACCGGCAUAACCCCGGGAAACUGGGGAUAAUUCCGGAUAACGCAUAUGUGCUGGAAUGCUUUAUGCGUAAAAUGGAUUCGUCUGCCCAAGGAUGGGUCUGCGGCCUAUCAGGUAGUAGUGGGUGUAAUGUACCUACUAGCCGACAACGGGUACGGGUUGUGAGAGCAAGAGCCCGGAGAUGGAUUCUGAGACAUGAAUCCAGGCCCUACGGGGCGCAGCAGGCGCGAAAACUUUACAAUGCGGGAAACCGUGAUAAGGGGACACCGAGUGUCAGCAUCAUAUGCUGGCUGUCCGGGUGUGUAAAAUACACCCGUUAGCAAGGGCCGGGCAAGACCGGUGCCAGCCGCCGCGGUAACACCGGCGGCCCGAGUGGUGAUCGUGAUUAUUGGGUCUAAAGGGUCCGUAGCCGGUUUGGUCAGUCCUCCGGGAAAUCUGAUAGCUCAACUAUUAGGCUAUCGGGGGAUACUACCAGACUUGGAACCGGGAGAGGUAAGAGGUACUACAGGGGUAGGAGUGAAAUCUUGUAAUCCCUGUGGGACCACCUGUGGCGAAGGCGUCUUACCAGAACGGGUUCGACGGUGAGGGACGAAAGCUGGGGGCACGAACCGGAUUAGAUACCCGGGUAGUCCCAGCCGUAAACGAUGCUCGCUAGGUGUCAGGCAUGGCGCGACCGUGUCUGGUGCCGCAGGGAAGCCGUGAAGCGAGCCACCUGGGAAGUACGGCCGCAAGGCUGAAACUUAAAGGAAUUGGCGGGGGAGCAC